AUUGCUUCUUCACCUUUCGGCUUAGAUCAAGCGUAGUAUCUGUUCUUAACAGUUUAAUAUCUGAUACAUCCUCUCUCUGAGAACAAUAAAUUAAAUGGAUUUUUUGGAGCUAGGAGUUGGAAUAGGAGCUUGCUCCGUCCACCCCAUGCAUUGACCUGGUAUCGCAGUACUUCCAGGAACAGUGCACCCCCU
rnacentral:snRNA from 1 species